rnacentral:rRNA from 1 species
AAUGAACGCUGGCGGCAGGCCUAACACAUGCAAGUCGAACGGAUCCUUCGGGAUUAGUGGCGGACGGGUGAGUAACGCGUGGGGACAUACCCUUUGGUACGGAAUAGCCUCGGGAAACUGGGAGUAAUACCGUAUGUGGUCGAGAGACGAAAGAUUUAUCGCCAAAGGAUUGGCCCGCGUUGGAUUAGGUGGUUGGUGGGGUAAUGGCCUACCAAGCCGACGAUCCAUAGCUGGUUUGAGAGGAUGAUCAGCCACACUGGGACUGAGACACGGCCCAGACUCCUACGGGAGGCAGCAGUGGGGAAUCUUAGACAAUGGGGGAAACCCUGAUCUAGCCAUGCCGCGUGAUCGAUGAAGGCCUUAGGGUUGUAAAGAUCUUUCAGGUGGGAAGAUAAUGACUGUACCACCAGAAGAAGCCCCGGCUAACUCCGUGCCAGCAGCCGCAGUAA